UACGUAGGGUGCAAGCGUUGUCCGGAAUUAUUGGGCGUAAAGAGCUCGUAGGCGGUUCGUCGCGUCGGCUGUGAAAACCUGAGGCUCAACCUCAGGCCUGCAGUCGAUACGGGCGGACUUGAGUACUGCAGGGGAGACUGGAAUUCCUGGUGUAGCGGUGAAAUGCGCAGAUAUCAGGAGGAACACCAGUGGCGAAGGCGGUGGUCUGGGCCGGAACUGACGCUGUAGAGCGAAAGCGUGGGGAGCGAACAGG
rnacentral:rRNA from 1 species